rnacentral:tRNA from 1 species
GGAGGUUUAGCUCAGCGGCAUAAGCACCUGCCUUGCAAGCAGGCGGUCGUGAGUUCGAUCCCCGCUACCGAUA